GCUACUACCGAUUGAGUGAUCCGGUGAAUAAUUCGGACUGACGCAGUGCUCAGCUUCUGGACGUUGUGUUGGAAAGUUUCAUGAACCUUAUCACUUAGAGGAAGGAGAAGUCGUAACAAGGUUUCCGUAGGUGAACCUGCAGAAGGAUCAGAGCUCCUACCGAUUUCGAAUUAUCCGGUGAACCUUCUGGACUGAAGUGGCAACACAUCGGGAAGUUAGGUAAACCUUAUAAUUUAGAGGAAGGAGAAGUCGUAACAAGGUUUCCGUAGGUGAACCUGCAGAAGGAUCA
rnacentral:misc_RNA from 1 species